rnacentral:rRNA from 1 species
GCAAGUCGAACGAGAAAGUUCUCUUCGGAGAACGAGUAAAGUGGCGCACGGGUGAGUAACGCGUAAGUGAUCUACCCUUGCAUCUGGAAUAACUACGGGAAGCUGUAGCUAAUACCGGAUACGUUCAUAUAAUUACGAUUAUAUGAAGAAAGAUGGCCUCUUCUUGAAAGCUAUCGUGCAGGGAGGAGCUUGCGUACCAUUAGCUAGUUGGUAGGGUAAUGGCCUACCAAGGCAACGAUGGUUAGCGGGUCUGAGAGGAUGAUC